AACGGGUGAGUAAUACAUCGGAACGUGCCCAGUCGUGGGGGAUAACGUAGCGAAAGCUACGCUAAUACCGCAUACGAACUCUGGUUGAAAGCGGGGGACUCGCAAGGGCCUCGCGCGAUUGGAGCGGCCGAUGGCAGAUUAGGUAGUUGGUGGGGUAAAGGCUCACCAAGCCGACGAUCUGUAGCUGGUCUGAGAGGACGACCAGCCACACUGGGACUGAGACACGGCCCAGACUCCUACGGGAGGCAGCAGUGGGGAAUUUUGGACAAUGGGCGCAAGCCUGAUCCAGCCAUUCCGCGUGCAGGAUGAAGGCCCUCGGGUUGUAAACUGCUUUUGUACGGAACGAAACGGCCUUGGUUAAUACCUGGGGCUAAUGACGGUACCGUAAGAAUAAGCACCGGCUAACUACGUGCCAGCCGCCGCGG
rnacentral:rRNA from 1 species